UAGGGAAUCUUCCACAAUGGACGCAAGUCUGAUGGAGCAACGCCGCGUGAGUGAAGAAGGUCUUCGGAUCGUAAAGCUCUGUUGUUGGUGAAGAAGGAUAGAGGCAGUAACUGGUCUUUAUUUGACGGUAAUCAACCAGAAAGUCACGGCUAACUACGUGCCAGCAGCCGCGGUAAUACGUAGGUGGCAAGCGUUGUCCGGAUUUAUUGGGCGUAAAGCGAGCGCAGGCGGAAUGAUAAGUCUGAUGUGAAAGCCCACGGCUCAACCGUGGAACUGCAUCGGAAACUGUCAUUCUUGAGUGCAGAAGAGGAGAGUGGAACUCCAUGUGUAGCGGUGGAAUGCGUAGAUAUAUGGAAGAACACCAGUGGCGAAGGCGGCUCUCUGGUCUGCAACUGACGCUGAGGCUCGAAAGCAUGGGUAGCGAACAGGAUUAGAUACCCUUGGUAGU
rnacentral:rRNA from 1 species